CCUACGGGGUGCAGCAGUGGGGAAUAUUGGACAAUGGGGGGAACCCUGAUCCAGCGACGCCGCGUGAGUGAAGAAGUAUUUCGGUAUGUAACGCUCUAUCAGCAGGGAAGAAAGAAAUGACGGUACCUUACUAAGAAGCCCCGGCUAACUACGUGCCAGCAGCCCCGGUAAUACGUAGGGGGCAAGCGUUAUCCGGAUUUACUGGGUUUAAAGGGAGCGUAGACGGCGAUGCAAGUCUGAAGUGAAAGGCGGGGGCCCAACCCCCGGACUGCUUUGGAAACUGUAUGGCUGGAGUGCAGGAGAGGUAAGUGGAAUUCCUAGUGUAGCGGUGAAAUGCGUAGAUAUUAGGAGGAACACCAGUGGCGAAGGCGGCUUACUGGACUGUAACUGACGUUGAGGCUCGAAAGCGUGGGGAGCAAACAGGAUUAGAUACCCCUGUAGUC
rnacentral:rRNA from 1 species